rnacentral:rRNA from 1 species
UACGUAGGGUGCUAGCGUUGUUCGGAAUCAUUGGGCGUAAAGCGCGUGUAGGUGGUCAGUAAAGUUGGGUGUGAAAUCCCUCGGCUCAACCGAGGAAGUGCACUCAAAACUAACUGGCUUGAGAGUGGUAGAGGAAGGUGGAAUUCCAAGUGUAGAGGUGAAAUUCGUAGAUAUUUGGAGGAAUACCGGAGGCGAAGGCGGCCUUCUGGACCAUUUCUGACACUGAGACGCGAAAGCGUGGGUAGCAAACAGG